rnacentral:rRNA from 1 species
CAGAGGGUGCGAGCGUUGUUCGGAAUUAUUGGGCGUAAAGGGCGCGUAGGCGGCGCCACAAGUCACUUGUGAAAACUCUGGGCUCAACUCAGAGCCUGCAAGCGAAACUGUGGUGCUGGAGUAUGGGAGAGGUGCGUGGAAUUCCCGGUGUAGCGGCGAAAUGCGUAGAUAUCGGGAGGAACACCUGUGGCGAAAGCGGCGCACUGGACCAUAACUGACGCUGAGGCGCGAAAGCUAGGGGAGCAAACAGGAUUAGAUACCCUGGUAGUCCUAGCCCUAAACGAUGAUUGCUUGGUGUGAUCGGUACCCAAUCCGAUCGUGCCGAAGCUAACGCGAUAAGCAAUCCGCCUGGGGAGUACGGUCGCAAGACUG